AAAGGAAAAUGAGGGGUCACAAAACAACUACAUUUUGACUAGUAAUUGCUGCUACUUUUGAUGAUGGAUAAUAUAAGGGGGUAUAUCAUGUGUGUCUGUGUUUGCCCUUCUUUCAAGGGAAAAUGGUUUGCAUCUUGACUUGUGAAAAUGGUUUCUUUAAUAUGGAUCCUUUUUAUCUUUUUUUCUCCAUUCAACCUAAAGUUUUUUAUAUUCUACAUGUGAUCUCCAUCCCCUUAAUUCCAAUUCUUCUUGCAUUGAGAGAAUCUCUCACUUUCUCUCUCCAUGCCUUUCUUUUCUUUAUUUGGGAAUCUCAUUUAUCACCUCCACAAUACAAGCAUAUAAAACUAAUCUUUGAACAUGUCAAGCCUCUAUCUCUCACUUUCUCUCUGUCAGUCAGUUUUUGUGUGUGUGUGAGGGAGAGAGAAGAAAAAACAAAGGUUGAUAAUUAAUGAGGGAGGAUCUUCUGCAUGACAAAGUGGAACUGAAAGAACACUUUCUUUUUCUUUUGCUUUUGUAUUGGGUUUUCUAACUUUUUCUCUUACACAUUUUUCUUAUUUUGAUCUUUUUGAUACAAACUUUAACUUUCAAUAAAAUCUUUUCAUUACAUGAUGAAGAAUUGGAUUACUUACUAACUGGUACAUGUUUGUUAUGACUCAUAAAGUAAAAGGGUAUGUAUCAAACUUGAGGACAUGGUGUUUGCUGAAAUGCCUGUGUGAGUUGAGCUAUCACUAUAUCUUGUAUUGGAAACAUACCUUACUUGUGCCCAGGAUUCUUGAAAGACGGUAGCUUUAUUAUCUAUCUAUGGCCACCAAAAAAUUUUGACCGUUAGGUUGGAAAGAGUGAAUUUCAGAGAAAUUGCAUUGUGUGGACCCCUUUUAGCCAAAGUUGGAGUACGUAUUCUUUUCCUAUCUUUACUUACAAUAUAGUACACAGUUUUUUAAUAAUCCUUUCAUUUAGACACUGCAUGCCUGUUUCUAAUUUCUGUCGAGUUCUGAAUAGUAGCAGUAAUUUGAUAAAAAACAAAAACUUAACCCCUCAGUCCCAAUAGAAGUAUAUUUAUUAUAUUAAUUGUAAAAAUAUCAAACAUGUGAGAUUUUAUUCAUAUUUAAGUAUAUGAUAUCCUCCACUUCUAUCUCUAGCACUUCCCUUUUCAGAGCAGCAUGUAACUUCACUAUCAGAAUUCAAUUCCCGUGAAAUGAAAAACUACCAAAAUUGAAUAAUGGGGAUGUGUCAAUGAAAGUGAAAGUGAGAGAUUUUGGGAAAUGAGACUUAGACAUGGUCAAUGUGAAUACAUUCAUACAUGUAUAUAAAUAUAGUUGGCCAAAUCUCUUCCCUGAUGAAACUGUACAAUACAUUUCCCAACACAUGAUCUAAUUUUCUUGUUGUAUUUAUUUAUUUAUUUUUUGUCAGGCUUCAUAAUUCCAUGUGCAUUAAUGUGAUUCUCCUUGACACAAUAGGACAGGUCAUUUCACAUUUAUAUUUAAGCUCUCACACAUUGUAUUCAAGAAAAUGUGCUUAUUCUAGAGGAACCACAUUUGGUGCUGAGUGUUAUGAAUUUGCAGUUGCAAUUAGGGGAAAGAGGGGGUUGUCAAUGUUAUUUCUUGACCCAUCUUUAAGAGUGAGGAUUCCCUACAUUUAUUGUCUUAAAUUGCUUUUAGGUUUUCAGUGGGAAAACUCACCCUUUAAUAACACUGAUCAUUGCAUAACUCAAAAAUGAUUUGGAUGGGUGAAGAGGAUCAAUGGUGCAACCAUGUGAGAAGAAAUAAAAGUUUCAACCAACAUAUUGGUGUUAGCAUGGUAGGUAAGACUUGAUCAGACAUUUGAUAUAGAAAGUUGAAUUUAGAUUCGCCAGCCAAGUUCUUGUGCAAAUUGAUUAAAUACCUACAAUAACUAGAAUUCAUAUUUAGGUGGGGUUGUUAAUGUUUUUAUUAAUAUUAUUUAUUGAUUCAAAAACUGCUGUUUUAUUUUCACAAUAUAUAAAUAGAAAGCCAUAUUAAAAUUUGCAGAAAAAUGUCAAAAUUAACAUUUAAUUUUAAUUUAAAUACUUUUGUAAUUCCAUCUUCAAAAAGUCUUAACGUGAAAAAAUAAACCAUAUCCAUAUAUUCGGCUUAAGCAAAUCCUUUACUGGUGUAGAUACAGAUUAACAAUUUUCGUUCGUUUUUUUUUCUUUAUAUAUAUAUAUAUAUAUAUAUAUAUAUAUAUAUAUAUAUAUAUAUAUAUUUUCAAUUCGUUUUUGCUUUGACAGGAAUGGUGAUAAUAUACGUUUUGGUUGAAAACAAAAUACAAAUAACAUAUUAACAACAUACUUUAUUUCAUUUAUAAGAAGAAAAAAAUGCUAAAGAAAAGAGUCCAUAAUAACUUUGAAAACUAAAACUAGAUUUUUUUCUUCUAUAUAUUAUUUAAUUUAAUUCAAAAUUUUAAACUUUUCCUGUUAUUUUACAGUUUUUUCAAUGAUUUGGUAGGUCCUAUUUUUGAGUUAGAAUUUUAAUUAGGAUCCCUACUUAUUGAUUUUUUCAAUUGGGUCCUUAAUUUUGAAAAAUUAAAACAAAUAGAGUCUUGCGUUAAAUUGGACAAACGUCAUUUAAGUGUUGUGUAUGUGACAUGUUGUUAGUAGUGUUUUAAAUGAUGUGACAAGUUGUAACUCUCUUACGUGGAUUUUGGUUUUUUUAAAAUUAAAGAAAUUGAGAAAUGUACAAGGCCCAAACCCUCUUUCAAGCCCAACCCCUCUUUUAUGAUUUUCUUCAUAUACACUUAAACCCUAAAGGAUUUCUUCAUUCCAACAAAAGGAAAAAGCAUUUUCUCUUCUUCUUCAACCGCACUAGACAUAGCGGUCCAACCUUUGAACCUCAGCCAUUGGGUGGCGGCCCUCCCUGUUCUUGGAAACUUCCUUGUUGAUGACGCUAAUGAACGCAUCCACCAUAUGCGAGGGAUGAAACUUUGGUGGAAAAGGAUCGCUGGUCUCUUGGCUAGGUUCUAUUUUGAUGGCGAAAGCCUUGGCUAGAUCGGAUUUAGUUCAAGAAUGGGUUGGAAAGCUACAAGGCUAGAAGAUAUGGCGCGUCAUGACUGGAAAGGAAACCUUGGCCGACGACGCCGGUAACGGUUGUUGAUGAUGGUUUUGGUCAACACGAAGGGCUUGACAUAGAUAUUUCGAACUCGUGAUUAACGAUUUUCAAAGGUUGGGUUUGAGCUUCACAACUUGGAUAAUUGCGUUUUAGUGGUUCAGGUGAAGGUGGUGAUCUCCAUGCGGCAUGAACUGGGUUUUGCGAUUUUGGUGGGCAAAGGCGAGUUUGAUAGUGACUUUUUGGUUUUAUGGGUUUUUGUAGUUAUGGUUGUGAGAGUGAUGAAGAUGGUGGUUGAACGAUGUUAAUUGUAGCUGGUGCUUAAAAGGGUUAAGGAAGGAGGAUGAUGGCUUGUGAAAUCCCUAAUUUUCAUAAACAAUUCAAUUCAAUUAACUUUUCUCAAUUUUUUUAAUUUUAGGAAAACAAAAAUCCACCUCAGACUUAGAUAAAAUUAUCUAACAAUUUGACACGUCAUUUAAAAAACUAACAUCAACAUCCAUGCCAACAUAAUUAUAGCGGAUGUUUGUCCAAUUUAGCGACAAGACUCUAUUUGUUUCAAUUUUUCAAAAAUUAGGAUCCAAUUGAGAAAAUCAAUAAGUAUGAGUCCUAAUUGAGAUUCUGAUUCAAAAAUAGGACCUAUCGAAUCAUUAAACAUUUUUUUUUCUCUCAUCAUAUCAAACAAAUUCCAAAAGUGGCACCUUAGGUAUUUGGAAGCGAGGGCAAAUGAUGAUUUACGAGUUUCAUUGUUUUCUCAAUCUUUGCUGAUUUGUUGAGAUUUAAGGUAUUUACUUUAAAAAACCUUUUUUUUGCCUUGGAACAAACAUGUAAUCUCAAUUUGUCGGCGUUCCAUGGUCGUGAACAUGGAGAUGAGAUUGAAAAUGCAGGAAGAAUUGAUUCUUCCUUAAAGCGUAACAAAUUCCAUGGUCAAAGAUGAAUCAAGUGGAAUCAAUUCCAUAAAGUUGGUACUCCAUUGCAUGAGCCCAUAACCAAUUACGGGGAAGAGAGAAACUGAUCCCAUGAGAGUAACCGAUUCUAGGACAUGUGUAAUCAAUUCCAUGAGCUUGGAAUCGAUUUCGUAUUGUGCUUAUCCCAUUCCACUAAGUUUGUAAUGGUGUUUUCAUGACACUUUAACUCCCUUCCUUUUGGUUGUAGGUAUUUGAUUAUGGUGUUCUACUAUUUCAAAUAAUUUUUACCAAAAAAUAUAUUACUCAUAAAUAUAAUUUUAUAUUAUUAUUACCAUUAAGAACAAUUUCGA
rnacentral:lncRNA from 1 species